GGAAUAUUGGACAAUGGGCGAAAGCCUGAUCCAGCGACGCCGCGUGGGUGAAGAAGGCCUGCGGGUUGUAAAGCCCUUUCAGUGGGGAAGAAAAGCCUCGAGCUAACACCUCGGGGUCUUGACGUAACCCAUAGAAGAAGCACCGGCUAACUCGGUGCCAGCAGCCGCGGUAAUACAGAGGGUGAGCGCGUUAAUCGGAAUUACUGGGCGGAAAGCGCGCGUAGUCGGGUUUGCAAGUCGGGUGUGAAAUCCCCAGGCUUAACCUGGGAACUGCAUUCGAGACUGCAUUGCUAGAGUAUGGGAGAGGGAAGUGGAAUUUCCGGUGUAGCGGUGAAAUGCGUAGAUAUCGGAAGGAACAUCAGUGGCGAAAGCGACUUCCUGGACCAAUACUGACGCUCAUGUGCGAAAGCGUGGGGAGCAAAC
rnacentral:rRNA from 1 species